GACGAACGCUGGCGGCGUGCUUAACACAUGCAAGUCGAACGGAAAGGCCCUGCUUUUGUGGGGUGCUCGAGUGGCGAACGGGUGAGUAACACGUGAGUAACCUGCCCUUGACUUUGGGAUAACUUCAGGAAACUGGGGCUAAUACCGUAUAGGAUCUCCUGCUGCAUGGUGGGGGUUGGAAAGUUUCGGCGGUUGGGGAUGGACUCGCGGCUUAUCAGCUUGUUGGUUGGGUAGUGGCUUACCAAGGCUUUGACGGGUAGCCGGCCUGAGAGGGUGACCGGCCACAUUGGGACUGAGAUACGGACCAGACUCCUACGGGAGGCAGCAGUGGGGAAUAUUGCACAGUGGGAGGGAGCCUGAUGCAGCAACGCCGGGUGCGUGAUGACGGCCUUCGGGUUGUAAACCGCUUUAGCCUGUGACGAAGCGUGAGUGACGGUAAUGGGUAAAGAAGCACCGGCUAACUACGUG
rnacentral:rRNA from 1 species